UACGGAGGGUGCAAACGUUGCUCGGAAUUAUUGGGCGUAAAGCGCACGUAGGCGGCUCGUUAAGUCGGAUGUGAAAUCCCUCGGCUCAACCGAGGAAGUGCAUCCGAAACUGGCGAGCUUGAGUACGGAAGAGGGUCUCGGAAUUCCCGGUGUAGAGGUGAAAUUCGUAGAUAUCAAGCGGAACACCGGUGGCGAAGGCGGCCUUCUGGACAGUGACUGACGCUGAGACGCGAAAGCGUGGGGAGCAAACAGG
rnacentral:rRNA from 1 species